rnacentral:rRNA from 1 species
UACGUAGGGUGCAAGCGUUGUCCGGAAUUAUUGGGCGUAAAGAGCUCGUAGGCGGUUUGUCGCGUCUGCUGUGAAAACCCGAGGCUCAACCCCGGGCCUGCAGCCGAUACGGGCAGCUAGAAUUCGGUAGGGGAGACUGGAAUUCCUGGUGUAGCGGUGAAAUGCGCAGAUAUCAGGAGGAACACCGGUGGCGAAGGCGGGUCUCUGGGCCGAAAUUGACGCUGAGGAGCGAAAGCGUGGGGAGCGAACAGG